AUGAUCUUCUGGGGGCGUUUAUAUUAUAUAUACCUACAUUAAAUAAUAUGCUGUGGUUUAUUUUCUGUAUUUUAUUUACGCUUUCUAUAUAAAGGAUUUAUGAAAGUUGUCUAGGAAAUUUUAGGGUAAAUUCAAAAGAAACUAGGGUAAAAUGUGUUAAAAAAAACGUAAGUGGAAACACUGCUUUGAAGUUUUCAAAAUUCCAGGGCCGUAAAACAAUCUCAAAAAAAAAAAAAAAGUUUUCAAAAUGUCGUAACGAUUUAAUUUUUUAAAUCGUUUUUUUUUUGGUCUUGGUAAUGUUUAUUAUUAAAAAUCAGCAUGCCUCGAAGAUCGAAAAUGAAAUGCUAUUUCGGAUGCCUUGAUAACGACAAAGGUUUGAUAAAGACAAAAUUUUAUGGAAAAAUUAUAAGGAGCACUGAAAUGUCUGAAACAUGAAAAGAUUGAUGCACUAUAUUUGAACCAGAACGUGUUAUGUAAUAUAUUAAUUUAAGAGAAACUGAUUCAGCAAGGAACGUGAACUCUCAAGGGAUCUUAAUAUUUUUUAAAUAUGUUUAUAAUUGAUAAAUUAAUAAUUGAAAUAGUUCAUAAGAACUAAAUUGACGCCAAUUUUGUUUUAAAAUAGGUUGUUUAGUUCUUAUAGUUAUAGUAUUACGUUUGAAUAGUUGUAAUUAGUAAGUUAGUAAUAUAUGAAAAUACUGAUAUAAAUUUUUGUAAAUAACCUUUUGUAAAUUCUACGAGAAGAUGAUUUUAAUUAAUGAUCAAAAGUCAACGGUCUUUAAAAGCAUUAUUUGCAAUUAUUUAGAUUAACUGUGGAAUAUAUUUGCUAAGUUGUGUUUUCUGUAUGAGCAGAUAUAAAUGAAAAUGCCCAAACAUGAUUAUGUUUCUUACAUUUUCAUUAUGUGAAAUCAAUAUGCUUGUGACUGAGUAUAUUAAUAAUUUAUUAAAACUUAAGUGAUAGACAGCAACCCCUAUGGCACUGCUGAAGUUUAUAAGCACUGGUGACCACUUAUCAUGGGCUGGGUUGCGUGCUCGUCUGCUGUUGAGUGCAAUAAAAAUUUUCGAAACCCUUUCUAUUAUUUAGAUGUAAUAUUAGUGUACAUUUAAUUUGGAUUAAAAGAUAAAUUUACAUUUUAUGUUUGCAUGUGUAUGUUUAUAAUUCAUUUGCAUGUAACGAACACCAGUUUCUUUUGUAACAAAAUGUAAACUAAUGGUUUGUAAUGAAUGUAAUUAACUUUAAGAUGAUUUUCUUUCAAUCUGCUGUUUGUUUCAUCUAGUAUUACCAAAGCUAAAGCAUCAGAAACGUCAGAAUAGAAAUAAUUUAGAUAGGGAAUAAAAGUAUAACUAAUGUAAUCAUGUCUAAGAUUACUAUAAGCGUCAUUAAGUACAAACUAUCAAUAUUUAAGAGUACUUUAAAUCAUCAUUACAUUUUUUAAACAUUUUUUGUUUUUCAAAUCAUGUAAUAAAACGUUUGUGCAGAACAAAAUGUCACAUGUUAUGAACAUGAUUGUGGGUUAAUCGUUUCUUAAAUUUCUAAAUGUUUAUAAGAAUGCAAAGAAUAAUUUAGUAUUCACUUUAGUGUGUGUAUUAUCUCUACAAUGCUAGUUUAAAUGACAAUUAUUGUAUGACGAAGCAUAGGUAGUGUUUAUAGAUGUAAUAUUUUCAUACAAGGUCAUGAUCUGUCACGAUCAACUUUAAGCAAGAACUGCUAUAGUUAAGAAACAAAUUUAUUAAAUUUAAUUCAAAUUGUCUACUAUGUUUGUAAUGGAAAGCUGACAUGUUUAUAUUUCGCACAAAUGACUUAAGUGACAUUGAAUGAUUUGAUUAUCUAGACUUAAUUAACUUUUUCGAUUUAAUGUUAUUAAGUACUCUAGUAGGAUUAAUCUAGAGGAGUUAUUGUUAUUCGAAAUUUUAUACAAUUGUACGUUCAUACUAUCUUUUAACAGUAAAUUGUUUGUAAUAUAGGGAAAUUAAAUAGCUUACAGAGAA